rnacentral:rRNA from 1 species
GGUGACUGCGGAGACAUUACCUAGAGUUUGCAGACUUCGGUCUGCUACCUCUUACCCAUGUCUUUUGAGUACCUUCGUUUCCUCGGCGGGUCCGCCCGCCGAUUGGACAACAUUCAAACCCUUUGCAGUUGCAAUCAGCGUCUGAAAAAACAUAAUAGUUACAACUUUCAACAACGGAUCUCUUGGUUCUGGCAUCGAUGAAGAACGCAGCGAAAUGCGAUAAGUAGUGUGAAUUGCAGAAUUCAGUGAAUCAUCGAAUCUUUGAACGCACAUUGCGCCCCUUGGUAUUCCAUGGGGCAUGCCUGUUCGAGCGUCAUUUGUACCUUCAAGCUCUGCUUGGUGUUGGGUGUUUUGUCUCGCCUCCGCGUGUAGACUCGCCUUAAAACAAUUGGCAGCCGGCGUAUUGAUUUCGGAGCGCAGUACAUCUCGCGCUUUGCACUCAUAACGACGACGUCCAAAAGUACAUUUUUACACUCUUGACCUCGGAUCAGGUAGGGAUACCCGCUGAACUUAAGCAUAUCAAUAGGCGGGGAGGACAA